rnacentral:rRNA from 1 species
GACGAACGCUGGCGGCGUGCUUAACACAUGCAAGUCGAACGGUGAAGCGAGUGCUUGCACUCGUGGAUCAGUGGCGAACGGGUGAGUAACACGUGAGUAACCUGCCCAUCACUCUGGGAUAAGCACUGGAAACGGUGUCUAAUACUGGAUACGACCAACCCUUGCAUGGGGUGUUGGUGGAAAGAUUUAUCGGUGAUGGAUGGACUCGCGGCCUAUCAGCUUGUUGGCGGGGUAAUGGCCCACCAACUGGACGACGGGUAGCCGGCCUGAGAGGGUGGCCGCCGACACUGGGACUGAGACACGGCGCAGACUCCUACGGGAGGCAGUAGUGGGGAAUAUUGCACAAUGGGCGAAAGCCUGAUGCAGAGACGCCGCGUGAGGGAUGACGGCCUUCGGGCUGUAAACCUUUUUCAGCAGGGAAGAAGCGAAAGUGACGGUACCUGAAGAAGAAGCACCGGCUAACUACGUG